UGAAAUAAGCCAUACAGAGAAAGACAGAUACCAUAUGGUUUCACUCUUAUGUGGAUCUUGAGAAACUUAACAGAAGACCAUGGGGGAAGGGAAG